rfam:Brucella suis ATCC 23445 chromosome I, complete sequence.
GUUCGUCGCAAAGCUCUCCACCUCCUCCCAGGCUUUGCGAUAACAAGACCGGUUCUCCUCCCAAUGCCGGUCUUCCCCUAAUGGCAUCCGUCGCCCUCCUCCCGCGACGGAUGCCAUUU